rnacentral:tRNA from 1 species
AUAAAAUUUAAGACAUCUACUUUGCACGUUGGAGAUUUAACUCUAAUUUUACACUUUAUU